rnacentral:lncRNA from 1 species
UGCCCCAUGCUCCUGACUCUGUCCACCUCUGUCUCUAGGGUCUCCCUGAAUCUCAGGGUCUCAAUGGAUUUUCUGACCCCAAAGGGCCCCUGGGUGACCAUGGGAUUCAAGGGAAGGUUGUUCCUGGUCUGAGGAGCUUCCCAGGAGAGAAAGGCCUCUAGGCCCUGCUGGUGCAGAGUCGUGUGUGAUUUCCCGGUCCUGCUGGGCCUCCAGGUGUGGCUGGAGAAGACGGAGACCAAAAGAAGAACCCCAGAGAACCCAGCCAAUCUUCUCUCCACAUGAGAGGGGCGAGGGCUCUCCUGGACCCCCUCGACUCAUUGGUCUGUGGAACAGCCUGGAGCAGUGGGAGCAGACUGGGAGCCCGGAGCUCAGGGACCCCAGGGACACUUUGGAGCCAGAGUGUGGGGAACCAAAGGCAAUAAAGGAACAAGAGGAUUCACAGACCUACAGCUCUGGUGUAUCUGUUCCCUCCGCAAGGACUACCUGGACCCAGUGGCACUGA